rnacentral:rRNA from 1 species
UGGGGAAUAUUGGACAAUGGGCGCAAGCCUGAUCCAGCCAUGCCGCGUGAGUGAUGAAGGCCUUAGGGUUGUAAAGCUCUUUCACCGGAGAAGAUAAUGACGGUAUCCGGAGAAGAAGCCCCGGCUAACUUCGUGCCAGCAGCCGCGGUAAUACGAAGGGGGCUAGCGUUGUUCGGAAUUACUGGGCGUAAAGCGCACGUAGGCGGACUUUUAAGUCAGGGGUGAAAUCCCGGGGCUCAACCCCGGAACUGCCUUUGAUACUGGAAGUCUGGAGUAUGGAAGAGGUAAGUGGAAUUCCGAGUGUAGAGGUGAAAUUCGUGGAUAUUCGGAGAAACACGAGUGGCGAAGGCGGCUUACUGGUCCAUUACUGACGAUGAGGUGCGAAAGCGUGGGGAGAAAACA